rnacentral:misc_RNA from 1 species
CCCUUUUCUUUGGCACUCUGAGCCAUCCAACUCACAGACUGGCUUUCAUAAUCAAACAUGGUCAACAACUUCUUAUUGGUAUGAAAAGGGUAUGAUUCUGCGAGCAAUUUAAAUGCGGACCCUCUACUGACAGUAAAAACAAGGCCAUACUCAUGCUCAGGGAUGUUCAAAUAAUCCAUAAUUCUGGUCUUUAUAUCAUGUUCCACAGUGCCUUUCUCAGCACCACCAUAAAGAGCAUGAUUACUCAAAUUUGCAGUUAUCUCAGAUAAGCUAAAUGUAGAAGACUCCCAAUAAUGCAAAGUCUGAAGAUAUGAAAAAAGCCCAAAUCCACAGUAAUCGAGGC